rnacentral:lncRNA from 1 species
GAUAGUAGGUCAUGGAUAAAUCAUCAAAUCUCAACAUCGAUCAUAUGAUAGAUUCAAUCAGUUCGAGUCCAUAUGUGACUUUAUAAAAUUUUUUUCCAUCAAUCACACUGCUAUGGUCAUAGACUUAAGGACUCAGCCUUUUUAAUCCCAUAGGACUACUCCCUUCUGCUAGGAUCGAUAGAUCCCAUCUUGAUGCACACCCCACUCCUAUAGUAGACCAACUGUCGUCAACAUCUACUAUAAGGACUCAUUGAGACCCAUGUUGAUAUAUCAGUCAAACUC